rnacentral:rRNA from 1 species
UACGUAGGGGCUAGCGUUGUCCGGAAUCAUUGGGCGUAAAGCGCGUGUAGGCGGUCCGGUAAGUCCGCUGUGAAAGUCGAGGGCUCAACCCUCGAAUGCCGGUGGAUACUGUCGGGCUAGAGUCCGGAAGAGGCGAGUGGAAUUCCUGGUGUAGCGGUGAAAUGCGUAGAGAUCAUGAGGAAGACCAGUGGCGAAGGCGGGUCUCUGGACAGUUCCUGACACUGAGACACGAAGGCCAGGGGAGCAAACGGG